UCUCAGGACCCCGAGCAAGUCGUUUCGGUGAGGUGAAGCCGCGUGAACUAGGGGGUUUCUCUGCUGUGGGCUCCUCCAGCGUGCAAACGCUUGGUUACCGGCGCUGGCAACGGAGAGAGACGGGAAGCCUGGCUUCGGCGCAUGGGUUUCUGGGAUGACUCAUCUCAUGGCCAGGCUUACAGCUGUGGUGAAUAAGGCGGUGGGUGAGGGAGCACAGCCGGGCCCGGAGUGCUGCCCCUUUCCCGAAAAUCCCUUGCCGUCUAGCGCGGGGCAGGCACUGCCGCAGCCCGCGCCUGCAGACGCUCUCCUGGGUCGUCCAGGGCGGUUUUCUGCUGUCGGACAUGGUCCCUCUCAACAAGCGACUGAAGGCCCGUCUUAAAACCAGCUACUAAAAAAAAUAAAAAAAAACCCCAAAGACUAAUUGCUUUUUGCUCUUACUGUUGCUAUUAGCAAGAUGAAUGUCAUUCCUUGGGAAUGACAGCUUGGUCUCAGCAUUCGGUGAUACAUGUGUGCGAGCCAGAAAUACAAUGUUUCAAGAAAAAAAAAUUAUUAUCCUGCUUCAGCUUGUGCGUUUCAGUAGUUGCUUUAUUUAGAUGUGAACACCCCUAGAUUGUAAUCUGCAGUCAAAGCCAGCAGUGAAACUGGUUAUAUGUCAUUGUCUAAAUUCCAGUUAAGUUCCUGUGCCUUGUUGUAACACAGAUUACACAGAACCCAUAUAUUUACACAGGUUAGUACAAGAAAAGCAACUGUCAUUGAAGGAGUUGUUAUGAAAGCGUGACAGAAACUCAACCCAUCAGCCACCUCGGAAAACCAUCCUUUCCUCUGGGGAAGCGUAGUCUCCGUCCUUAUCAAGGCCCAAAGUUUAUCAAUCCCAUAGACUGCAGGCUUUGCCUGCAAUUAAAUGUUCAAAGCACGCGCACUGAGCCUGUAUGAUGUCAGGUGAACGAUACCCGCGGUGAAUGCCCUCGUUCCACAGACCUGGAACUUGGAACGCCCUGUCCGCCACUGCCUCUCCUCAACACAAAGGGAGAGAAAUUCCGUCACCUAUGAGGAAAAUCUUGCAAGAUCUUUUUGGUGCUGAUCAUGUUUUCUUCAUCAAAAUCUGUAACCAUGCAGUCAUUUUGUGCAUGUUCUUUUUAUCCAUGUACUACUCAGGAGCUGUGGUGUGUGGCACAGCACCUGCUGCUUCAGGCAGGUCCCCAGCCAAGACCCGUUGGCUGGAGAUGAUAGGUACAUGGGAUUUGGAAUGUGGCCUGUUGAAAUUACACUGC
rnacentral:lncRNA from 1 species